rnacentral:rRNA from 1 species
UACGUAGGGUGCGAGCGUUAAUCGGAAUUACUGGGCGUAAAGCGUGCGCAGGCGGUUUUGUAAGCCAGAUGUGAAAGCCCCGGGCUUAACCUGGGAAUGGCAUUUGGGACUGCAGGGCUGGAGUGUGGCAGAGGAGACUGGAAUUCCUGGUGUAGCAGUGAAAUGCGUAGAUAUCAGGAGGAAUACCGAUGGCGAAGGCAGGUCUCUGGGCUGACACUGACGCUCAUGCACGAAAGCGUGGGGAGCAAACAGG